GACGAACGCUGGCGGCGUGCUUAAAAACAUGCAAGUCGAACGGACUUCUCAUGAAGCUUGCGAUUGAGAAGUUAGUGGCGGACGGGUGAGUAACGCGUGGGCAACCUGCCCCUGAGCCCGGGAUAACAGUUCGAAAGGACUGCUAAGACCGGAUAUACUUGCGGGGAAGCAUUUCUCUGUAAGGAAAGGGAACGCUCAGGGAUGGGCCCGCGUCCCAUUAGCUAGUUGGUGAGGUUAACGGCCCACCAAGGCGACGAUGGGUAGCCGGCCUGAGAGGGUGAACGGCCACACUGGGACUGAGACACGGCCCAGACUCCUACGGGAGGCAGCAGUUGGGAAUCUUCGGCAAUGGGCGCAAGCCUGACCGAGCAACGCCGCGUGAGUGAUGAAGGUUUUCGGAUUGUAAAGCUCUGUCUUCCGGGACGAUAAUGACGGUACCGGAGGAGGAAGCCAACGGCUAACUACGUG
rnacentral:rRNA from 1 species